GAUGAACGCUGGCGGCGUGCUUAACACAUGCGAGUCGAACGGAGUUCCUUGGAAAGAGGCUUCGGCCAAUGGAAUUGGAACUUAGUGGCGGACUGGUGAGUAACGCGUGAGGAACCUGCCUUUCAGAGGGGGACAACAGCUGGAAACGGCUGCUAAUACCGCAUGACACAUUCGGGUGGCAUCGCCUGAAUGUCAAAGAUUUUAUCGCUGAAAGAUGGCCUCGCGUCUGAUUAGCUAGUUGGUGAGGUAACGGCUCACCAAGGCGACGAUCAGUAGCCGGACUGAGAGGUUGAUCGGCCACAUUGGGACUGAGAUACGGCCCAGACUCCUACGGGAGGCAGCAGUGGGGAAUAUUGGGCAAUGGACGCAAGUCUGACCCAGCAACGCCGCGUGAAGGAAGAAGGCUUUCGGGUUGUAAACUUCUUUUAUCAGGGAAGAGUAGAAGACGGUACCUGAUGAAUAAGCCACGGCUAACUACGUGCCAGCCGCCGCGGUAAAAC
rnacentral:rRNA from 1 species